CUUGAUAUUGCUGCCCCGUUUCUCAUCAAAUUCCAUCCGUCGCGACCGAGGUCAAGUUUACAGCAUUUCAGAGAGCCAACCCAAUUCCAAUCUGGGUUAUAAAAUCACAAGCAAGCAGAAUCACAUCCACUUAGGAGAAGUAAUUAAACGACAGAGCGGAAAGUUAUUUAUCAGUACAUGAACUUAUUACGAGAAAUGUCGAUCCUCUUCACUGACUCCGUCGGGCAUAAUCUCCGGCGGAACUAAUCUCCGACUGCAGCUGCAGUUCAUCGUCCUCUUCAUCAGUAUCUACCGGCUCCAACCCUUCCACACCUGUGCCAAGUAUCCGACCAUCCAAUUUCUAUGGCGGAGCUUCCAGGAGGUCAAAGAAAUGAAUCGUGAGCAUUUAGGAGAGACUUUGUAUUAUUUCUGACAACAAGAGAGAGGUUGUCACGAAUAAG
rnacentral:lncRNA from 1 species